rnacentral:rRNA from 1 species
GAGUUUGAUCCUGGCUCAGAUUGAACGCUGGCGGCAGGCCUAACACAUGCAAGUCGGGCGGUAGAGAGAAGCUUGCUUCUCUUGAGAGCGGCGGACGGGUGAGUAAUGCCUAGGAAUCUGCCUGGUAGUGGGGGAUAACGCUCGGAAACGGACGCUAAUACCGCAUACGUCCUACGGGAGAAAGCAGGGGACCUUCGGGCCUUGCGCUAUCAGAUGAGCCUAGGUCGGAUUAGCUAGUUGGUGAGGUAAUGGCUCACCAAGGCGACGAUCCGUAACUGGUCUGAGAGGAUGAUCAGUCACACUGGAACUGAGACACGGUCCAGACUCCUACGGGAGGCAGCAGUGGGGAAUAUUGGACAAUGGGCGAAAGCCUGAUCCAGCCAUGCCGCGUGUGUGAAGAAGGUCUUCGGAUUGUAAGGCACUUUAAGUUGGGAGGAAGGGCAGUAAAUUAAUACUUUGCUGUUUUGACGUUACGACAGAAUAAGCACCGGCUAACUCUGUGCCAGCCGCCG